GGCCAAGUUUUUAAGGGCGCACGGUGGAUGCCUUGGCACCAGGAACCGAUGAAGGACGUGGGAGGCCACGAUAGUCCCCGGGGAGUCGUCAACCAGGCUUUGAUCCGGGGGUUUCCGAAUGGGGAAACCCGGCAGUCGUCAUGGGCUGUCACCCUUGUCUGAACACAUAGGGCAAGUGGAGGGAACGCGGGGAAGUGAAACAUCUCAGUACCCGCAGGAAGAGAAAACAACCGUGAUUCCGGGAGUAGUGGCGAGCGAAACCGGAUGAGGCCAAACCGUAUGCGUGUGAGACCCGGCAGGGGUUGCGUAUACGGGGUUGUGGGAUCUCUCUUUUACGGUCUGCCGGCCGUGAGACGAGUCAGAAACCGUUGAUGUAGGCGAAGGACAUGCGAAAGGUCCGGCGUAGAGGGUAAGACCCCCGUAGCUGAAACAUCAGCGGCUCGUUUGAGAGACACCCAAGUAGCACGGGGCCCGAGAAAUCCCGUGUGAAUCUGGCGGGACCACCCGCUAAGCCUAAAUAUUCCCUGGUGACCGAUAGCGGAUAGUACCGUGAGGGAAUGGUGAAAAGUACCGCGGGAGCGGAGUGAAAUAGUACCUGAAACCGUGUGCCUACAAGCCGUGGGAGCGUCGGAUGGGAGCUUGCUUCCAUCUCGUGACUGCGUGCCUUUUGAAGAAUGAGCCUGCG
rnacentral:rRNA from 1 species